rnacentral:rRNA from 1 species
GUGGGGAAUAUUGGUCAAUGGACGAGAGUCUGAACCAGCCAAGUCGCGUGAAGGAAGACGGUUCUAUGAAUUGUAAACUUCUUUUGUGCAGGAAUAAAGUGGGUUACGUGUAACCUUUUGUAUGUACUGUACGAAUAAGGAUCGGCUAACUCCGUGCCAGCAGCCGCGGUAAUACGGAGGAUCCGAGCGUUAUCCGGAUUUAUUGGGUUUAAAGGGUGCGUAGGUGGAUUGAUAAGUCAGCGGUGAAAGUUUGCAGCUUAACUGUAAAAUUGCCGUUGAAACUGUCGGUCUUGAGUGCAAAUGAGGUAGGCGGAAUGUGUUGUGUAGCGGUGAAAUGCUUAGAUAUAACACAGAACUCCGAUUGCGAAGGCAGCUUACUGGGAUGCAACUGACACUGAUGCACGAAAGCGUGGGUAUCAAACAGGAUUAGAAACCCGUGUAGUCC